rnacentral:rRNA from 1 species
GCCUUAGUAGCGGCGAGUGAAGCGGCAAAAGCUCAAAUUUGAAAUCUGGCUCUUUCAGAGUCCGAGUUGUAAUUUGAAGAAGGUAUCUUUGGGUCUGGCUCUUGUCUAUGUUUCUUGGAACAGAACGUCACAGAGGGUGAGAAUCCCGUGCGAUGAGAUGAUCCAGGCCUAUGUAAAGUUCCUUCGAAGAGUCGAGUUGUUUGGGAAUGCAGCUCUAAGUGGGUGGUAAAUUCCAUCUAAAGCUAAAUAUUGGCGAGAGACCGAUAGCGAACAAGUACAGUGAUGGAAAGAUGAAAAGAACUUUGAAAAGAGAGUGAAAAAGUACGUGAAAUUGUUGAAAGGGAAGGGCUUGAGAUCAGACUUGGUAUUUUGUAUGUUACUUCUUCGGGGGUGGCCUCUACAGUUUAUCGGGCCAGCAUCAGUUUGGGCGGUAGGAGAAUUGCGUUGGAAUGUGGCACGGCUUCGGUUGUGUGUUAUAGCCUUCGUCGAUACUGCCAGCCUAGACUGAGGACUGCGGUUUAUACCUAGGAUGUUGGCAUAAUGAUCUUAAGUCGCCCGUCUUGAAACACGGACCAAGGAGUCUAACGUCUAUGCGAGUGUUUGGGUGUAAAACCCGUACGCGUAAUGAAAGUGAACGUAGGUGGGGGCCCGUAUGGGUGCACCAUCGACCGAUCCUGAUGUCUUCGGAUGGAUUUGAGUAAGAGCAUAGCUGUUGGGACCCGAAAGAUGGUGAACUAUGCCUGAAUAGGGUGAAGCCAGAGGAAACUUCUGGUGGAGGCUUCGUAGCGGUUCUGACGUGCAAAUCGAUCGUCGA